UCAAGAUCAAGAUCAAGUUGAUGUGGAGAGAGCCAGGAGAAAGUCUAAUGUACAAGUUAUCAAAGGGAGCCAGCCAAUCAACAACGCCAAUCAACAAUCAAGAAUAAGUCAUAAGUGGGAGCCGUUACAAAGACAAGCCCACGCUUACUACUGGACUGGCCGGACUGGAUAGCCCACGGCACCUCCCGCCCACCAAGGCACCUAAAACGGUUAAUCUAGCCAACAAUUGCUUCUAAUACACCGAAAAAGAAGCAUCACCUCAGUCUACAGCAUCUGAAGCACCACAUAAUUAUGGAGGCGGAGGAACCGACUAUCGCUAACUCCUCUCAUCCUGAUCAGCAGACACAGAGUUUAGUGAGAGAAAUAAGGACACAGACCCGCCUCCACUGGAACUAUCGCCACCUCCGAUCUCUUCCCCUGGAGCUGACAGAGGAGGGUUCAUGCAUUGAGCAGAUUCACCUCAGAUGCAACACCCUGACCAGACUGAGAGGAGACCUGAUAGUGAUGUACAGGGUGGAGAGCAGGGUGGAGAAUCUGGACAGAGAGGACCUUCAUGUGUGUGUGGAGCGAGAGAGAAACGAGAGGACAUGGAAAGAAGUUGAGGGCGACCACGUGUAGGCGAGAUGUGAAAAAGUUUAGCUUCCCAAACAGAAGCAUUGAGCUGUGGAAUGGACUGGAGGAGGAGGUGGUUUGUGCAAGAAUUAUUCAUGAUUUUAAGGAAAAGUUGGAUAAGAGAGGAUAUGGAGAUGGGACAGCGUGAACGUAGCUCUUUUCCCGUAUGUCACAACUAGGUAACUACUGCAGUAUAUUUUGCAUGCUUUUAGCCUAAUAUUAAGGAUUUUAGCCACAAACGCUUACACACAGGGUGCAAAAAGCUAUUUCUAGGCAGCUACUGCUUGUUACAUUGGUGGUGGUGAUG